UCAUCCGGGCAGACGCCAAACACUGGAGAAGGUAUUGGCAUCCUACCACUGGUCAAACUUGUGGGAGGAUGUCAACAAAUGGGUUGAUGAGUGUCCCCUGCUGUCAGUGGCAUGAAACAGUCAAGACAGUUGCACUUGUCCUUCAUCCCAUCCAUGUCAGAGAAGCAUGGAGUGUCCUUGGGGCGAUCUAAUUGGUCCACUUCUCACCACUGCAAAGGGCAAAAGGUAAUUUGCAUAAACCAGUACAUCUGCAAGUCAACUGUGGUGUCUUUGAGUCUCUGGGUAUCAAACUGUGCACUGUUACAUCAGCCUACCAGCCCCAGGCCAAUGGACAGGAUGAGCCGCCUACAGAAAAAGCCAAGAACUGUGGUGAACAACAAAAUGAUUGGGAUGAUGAUUUAAGGGGUAUUGUGUCUAGCAUCAAUACCUCUAAACAGGUAAUAUUGUGGAAACAAUAUUCAACUGGGUAGAAAAACUGUAAAAUACGAUUAAUUGUACUUUUUUUUUUUUUUACAGUGGUCAACCAAGUACACACCAUACUGUCCACUAUUAGGAAAGCGCCGUUGCACCCCAGGUGUAAUCAACAUUACGAAGAAUGAGGGGGGUGACAACUCUGUUAUUGUGACUACUGUUAAGCACAUGGAGAAGAGAACAAGGACAAACAGGCCGACCAUCGGGGUCUCAAGCUAGACUGCGAAUCACGGGCACAACCUUUACGCAACCAAAUGUUUUUCUCCCUAUCAUCAGUGCGGUUUGGCACCUGACAAAUUCCUUGAUAUCUCAGGUAGAAUUUAUUAAGUUUUGUCAAAUUCGCUAUCUGACCUGAAGCCAUUCAUAGGAAUGUUGGCUCUGUUCUUGCUUUGUGGCCUGUGAUUGUUUUCAUGCCAGACCAAGCUGAGGUAAGGGUCCUCUCAGCCAGUUUGCGUUCUACUUUAGUUUUAUACUUUUGUUUAGCCCUUAGGAUUUCCACUUUCACCUCGUUUUUGGCUGCAUCUAUUUCAGAAGCCUACAUAUAUACUAUUCUAUUAUGUAUUGUAUGUCAUUUUUGUAUUUUUUCAUGUUGUGUUUGACAUUAAUUUUUUGUUUUGUACUGUUGUUAUAUUGAAGCCUGCACACAUAUUGCAGUGACAUGUUCACCUUUUUUCAUACAUUUCAUUUUUAUGUUUGUGCUUAAUGCUUUAAUGUGUUUUCAUUGUUAUACAUAAUAACCCAUGUGCUAUAUUCUUAUUUAUAUUCUACUCUUCUUUGCUGUAUCCUGCUACGAUUUGCUGCCACAAUAACCCUCCAGUCUAGUCUAGAGUAGUCCAAUCUAAUAUAAACUAGUCAAACCUAAUCUAAUCUAAUCUCACAGUAUCUCUCAAUUCCCUGGUUUUAAGUAUCAUGAGAUUAAGCAGCCACCAGGAGGAGCUGCAGGAGAGAGAGGAGGAGGAGUGGUGUCAGGUUGGUACCUU